rnacentral:lncRNA from 1 species
ACAUAGAGUCUGGUGAAUUGAAAUACACACCAUACAAGCUUUAUGUACACUAAUCAAGCUUAAAUAAAUUUAAAUACAAACUACAAACGUUAAUAUAUACUAAUACAUAAGUAAACAUACUAAUAAGCACACUUAUUUACAAAUUCACAUAGAUUAACAGCUAAAUGACAGAGUAUUCUGUGGAAGAUACUGUGGAAGGAAGGUGGGAUGAAUAUUAUAAUGGAAGGAGG